rnacentral:tRNA from 1 species
GUAGAUAAAUGUUACUUCGCUGAAAACGAAAAGGUUGAAGGUUCGAUUCCUUCCAGGUCCA